rnacentral:lncRNA from 1 species
UAAUUUUAUUUGGUUUGUGGUGGAUUAAAUUUGUAGACCCUUAGAAUGGAUCGGUAAGGACUUAAGUUAUUUAUUUGGAAAAUUGUAUGCUACGUUUUGGUUAAGUUUAUUUACGUUAUUUGUCUCUGUAAAACGUGCUACGACGUCAAAACAAACACCUGUGACCGAAACGAACAACGAAAACGAUACGAAGAAGCGAUUUGAGACAAAGCGACCCGCGUCUGUAUGAUAUUCUUGAAACCGUUGAAAUACAUGUAGUACGUUCAUCGCGUUAGUCAAGAGGACGUGGGGCCGCUACAGUUUCAAGAAUAUCUGUCCCCGACUGCAGCAUAUCAGGAUAAAUCCUCUCUACCGUCACGCGGCCGGUUUGGACAGACGUCUACCCACAGUAAGUGACGAGCUGCUGCAGCUGCAGUUCAAACUUCGACAUUGUGACCUCAGAAAAUCCGGACACAUGAACUAAGAUCGUCUGAGAGACUAGCAGUAAACGUGAUUAUGCCCGUGCUAUGUUGUUACUUGUACUUGGAUUAAGUGAGCAAAGCAAGACAUCUAUGUUCUAAUGUUUUUCAUCGCGAAACGUCUGUUUUGAGCUUAUAUAUUCAGGUAAAUUUAGCAGGUGAAGCUUGGUGCGUUCACCACGGAGCGACCCCACUCUGUCUCGUGUAACUGAACUGUGACUAAGCAUCAUGGACAA